ensembl:lncRNA
CAGAGCUGGAGGGGACACCUGGCUUGUCAAUCAGAGCACUUCCGCACCUUUCCAAGAUAAGGAGACCCCGUGUCCGUUAGUGCCGGACAUCCAGGAGGACCCUGGGAAACUGGGCGCUGAGCACGACCCUAAGUGGAACCACAGCUGAAGACUCCAUGUGACUUUAAGCUCAACUCCUAUUCACCAUCAGAGAUAAGACACCAGUGCUACUUGUUGCCAGAAGCAAGUAUAGCAAAGCAAACUGGAAUGAAAACCCAUAAAAGACAUAAUCUGUCAGUGUCUUCCAGACAUUGAAAAUAAUGUUUUCUGAUCUCCCACUGCUAUAGCGAAGGUUUUUCCAGGUUAAAUCACUUAGUUUUGUGCAUUAGCAUGCUACCAUUUUUAAAUUAGCACAAACCAUAUGGUUCAACUGAGACUCGUUUAAUUAGCCUGGCAAACAUUUAACGUGAAAAUGUUGCAAAAUGGAAGAGCAGGUGAUCAAACAAUGCAUCCUCUGGGGACUAUGAAUGUAUUUCUGGAAUCCAAAAUAUCAAUAUUUAAUUCCAAAUGUCAACUGAAUAUCUAAAAAUCGUUUU